rnacentral:rRNA from 1 species
UGAACGCUGGCGGAGUGCUUAAUACAUGCAAGUCGUGCGAGAAAGUUUUCUUCGGAGAAUGAGUAGAGCGGCGAACGGGUGAGUAACACGUAAAUAACCUGCCCUUAAGUUUGGGACAACCUUGCUAACGCGAGGCUAAUACCGGAUGUGGAUAUAAAGCUUCAUGGCUUAAUAUUUAAAGGUCCUUCGGGAUUGCUUAGGGAUGGAUUUGCGCACUAUUAGUUAGUUGGUUAGGGUAACGGCCUACCAAGACGAUGAUAGUUAGCCGACCUGAGAGGGUGAUCGGCCACAUUGGGACUGAGACACGGCCCAGACUCCUACGGGAGGCAGCAGUAGGGAAUCUUGCGCAAUGGACGAAAGUCUGACGCAGCAACUCCGCGUGGAGGAUGACGGUCUUCGGAUUGUAAACUCCUUUUAUAUAGGAAGAACAAGCUUGUGGAGACAUGAGAACUGACGGUACUAUAUGAAUAAGCCAUGGCUAAAUACGUGCCAGCAGCCGCGGUAAUACGUAUAUGGCGAGCGUUAUUCGGAAUCACUGGGCGUAAAGAGUUCGUAGGCGGAUUUUCAAGUCAGAAGUGAAAUUUUGGGGCUCAACCCCGAAACUGCUUUUGAAACUGUUAAUCUUGAGUAUGUGAGAGGAAGAUGGAAUUCCUGGUGUAGCGGUGGAAUGCGUAGAUAUCAGGAAGAACACCGGUGGCGAAGGCGGUCUUCUGGCACAAUACUGACGCUGAGGAACGAAAGCGUGGGGAGCGAACAGGAUUAGAUACCCUGGUAGUCCACGCCGUAAACGAUGGACACUAGUUGUCGGGAGGCUUGACCUCUCGGUGACGGAGCUAACGCAUUAAGUGUCCCGCCUGGGGAGUACGUCCGCAAGGAUGAAACCCAAAGGAAUUGACGGGGGCCCGCACAAGCGGUGGAGCAUGUGCUUUAAUUCGAUGCAACGCGAAGAACCUUACCUGGUCUUGACAUGGUACUGCCCGUCGUAGAGAUACGAUUUUAUCUUCGGAUACGGUACACACAGGUGCUGCAUGGUUGUCGUCAGCUCGUGUCGUGAGAUGUUGGGUUAAGUCCCGCAACGAGCGCAACCCUUGUCCUUAGUUGCCAGCACGUAAUGGUGGGAACUCUAAGGAGACUGCCCUCGCAAAGGGGAGGAAGGUGAGGAUGACGUCAAAUCAUCAUGGCCCUUACGACCAGGGCUAGACACGUGCUACAAUGGCCGGUACAAUGGGUUGCUAACUAGUGAUAGUGUGCUAAUCUCAAAAAACCGGUCUCAGUUCGGAUCGAAGUCUGCAACUCGACUUCGUGAAGUUGGAAUCGCUAGUAAUCGUGGAUCAGCAUGCCACGGUGAAUACGUUCCCGGGCCUUGUACACACCGCCCGUCAAGCCACGGAAGUUGGUCGCACCCGAUAUCGUUUUGUUAACCGCAAGGAUGCAAGCGACUAAGGUGAGGCUAGUAACUGGGGCUAAGUCC